rnacentral:rRNA from 1 species
GCGUUGAAAGUUUUCUUGCGGGAAGAUUUGAGCCAUUGGUGAGAUACCACUCUAACAAUGCUAGGAUUCUAACCCUAUGUCGUUAUCCGGCUAGGGGACAGUUUCAGGUGGUCAGUUUGACUGGGGCGGUCGCCUCCUAAAAGGUAACGGAGGCGUGCAAAGGUUCCCUCAGGCUGGUUGGAAAUCAGUCGUAGAGUGUAAAGGCAUAAGGGAGCUUGAUUGUGAGACCUACAAGUCGAACAAAGACGAAAGUCGGCCUUAGUGAUCCGGCGGUACCGAGUGGAAGGGCCGUCGCUCAACGGAUAAAAGUUACUCUAGGGAUAAC